rnacentral:misc_RNA from 1 species
CGAACUUUUUCAUUGAUGACAUGCGAUAUGCAUGCCUUGUUAAGUGUAAAUCCAUGAAUUAGGAGUUAACUAACACCCUUUAUUAAUCCAACAAUUAUAUUAAUAUAUUGAAAUAUAAUUUUACAGAUCGUUUCAUGAAAUUUCAACUUUCUUCUGCUCUGUAACUUUCAGAUUCAAGUGUUGCAAGUACUAUCCAUUGUCAAACUAAUAUUUUCUCUACAUGCAAUUCCAGAUUCAACAUUGCAUGAAAU